rnacentral:rRNA from 1 species
CCUCGUUUUUUGUUGGGUUGUAAUGUAAAUAGUACAUGAUGGAGCUCGAGUAGAAAGUAUUUAUUCAUUUCUCAGGGGCAAGGAUCUAGGGUUAAUACCAAUCAAUACGUUGGAACAAACUUCGUAAGUAUAUUUUUGAUAUAGAAAUCGAAAGGAUCUAAUUCGAGCAAUUUUUUAAUCCAAAAGGAAAAUCUUUUGGAAUUGCUAAAACUCUUUCGAUCAAAAGUGUAUCAUGCAAGAAUCAAUUGUUCGUAUGAUUCUUUGAUAGAAAGAAAUCACAAAAAGGGGUGUGUUGCUGCCAUUUUUUAAAACGAUUAAAGAUCACCGAAGUAAUGUCUAAACCCAAUGAUUCAAGGCAAAGAUAAAGGAUCCUGGAACAAGGAAAUACCGUUUUCAAUUGUCUCAACAAUUAGAUCAGAAUGGAGACUCCCAAAAUAAAAUGGAUUCGAAAGGAGACAAACAACAAAUGGGUUAGAGACCGCUCAAAAAAUGAAAUGCCUAAGGAUUUUCUUUUAGGCGAUUUGAAAGUUAUCCAACUUGAGUUAUGAGAGUACGAAUGCUUUUUUUUUUUUUCUCCUUUUUCAAAAAAAAAAAAAAAAAAAAAGGAUUUAAAUCUUUGAAAAUUAAUUUAAGGGUUUUAUAAACCUUUUUA